rnacentral:rRNA from 1 species
GAAACUGGGUCUAAUACCGGAUAUGACCUUACAUCGCAUGGUGUUUGGUGGAAAGAUUUAUCGGUACAGGAUGGGCCCGCGGCCUAUCAGCUUGUUGGUGGGGUAAUGGCCUACCAAGGCGACGACGGGUAGCCGGCCUGAGAGGGCGACCGGCCACACUGGGACUGAGACACGGCCCAGACUCCUACGGGAGGCAGCAGUGGGGAAUAUUGCACAAUGGGCGAAAGCCUGAUGCAGCGACGCCGCGUGAGGGAUGACGGCCUUCGGGUUGUAAACCUCUUUCGACAGGGACGAAGCGCAAGUGACGGUACCUGUAGAAGAAGCACCGGCCAACUACUGCCAGCAGCCGCGGUAAUACGUAGGGUGCGAGCGUUGUCCGGAAUUACUGGGCGUAAAGAGCUUGUAGGCGGUUUGUCGCGUCGUCCGUGAAAACUUGGGGCUCAACCCCAAGC